UUUUUUUUUUUUUCAAAAACAGAUUCUAAUAAGUACGAGUAAGAAAUAAUUAACAAAAACUCAUGUGUGCCCCAAAUAAAGAUAGAGAUAUAGGCAUAAACUCUAUACCAUGGACACCUUCUAUGAGUCACGAAAAUAUCAGUCAUAUAUACUGGGCACUUAGUCUGGUACAUGCAAAUUUCAAGGCAAUUCCUCUCCAUCUGAGAACCAGGAAUUCUGUAAUUUUAAGGCCAAAUUGUAGUCCAAUUGCCACAAGUGCAAAACCACCCCACAUAACCACCUAUUUGUGAAUCAUGGAACGAUAGCCUCAACCAACCAAUUGUGCCAUAAAUCAUUGUUAAGACUUCUUUGGCUCAUUUUAGUACAGAUUUAAAAGUAAAAAUUGCAAAAGAUUAUAAACAUCUAUUAUUUUGUAAAAGUUUCAAACUCCCAUUACAGUUAUCAGCCUUGUAGCGGUUCUCCAGCCUAGCUGCACAUUGGAAUCAUGAACAGCCAGGAUGAUUCAACCAGAGAUUCUGAAAGGUCCUCAGGUGAUUCCAAAGUGCAGCCGUGUUGAGAGCCACUAUGUGUGAGGGAACAGAUGUCAACUAUCAGCUGAAUGUAGCUCUUCAAUCUGAGAACCUGGAAUGUCUUACAACGACAAUAGGAAACCCACAUUUGCCUUGUUUCUCCUCACAUUACAGUUAUUGCGGGCCAGUUUUGAUAGGACAGUUUAGAUUUUCUCAUUUAGUCUGACUGAAAAACCGUUUCACGAGGCAUUUGCACAACCACUGCAAAACACUGCAUCAAACUAGGUACCACCUAUUACAAAUUUCAGAUUCUUAUGCUAAGGGUUGUGUGGUACUGUAGGAGGUUGGAAUUAAAGUGCGACAAUUCUCUUUGUUUUGUGAUAGGCUUUAAAUUAAACAACCCAAAAGGAUAUAUCUCAGGAUUCUCUAUAAUAAAACUUCUUUUCCUCCAAGGCAUUUGCAUCUUUGGUUUAGUUCACCUAUGUUGUAUCACUGAAACAUGUUUUACAAAUACUGUUAACAGAUCGAAAGCAUCUGAAUCAUUUAAAAAAUCCUGAAUGAAUAAUUCAUAAGGUUAAAAUAAGCUGCUAAAGCCAUUCUUGUGGCUUCUAUAUCAAAGCAUACAUAAAGAAAUGGACACUUGUCAGGGAUUUUGAAGGCAAGGGGAACUGAUUCUAGGUACCAAAAAAAGGAGAGGUUAGAUGGACUGGAAAAAGAGGGGUGAUAUAUACAUGAGGAACUCUAAAUGUAGCUGGAAAAAAAUAACAAAUCUGUUCAGAGUAACACAAUCAUAAAAUGAAACUCUGAUCAUUGGUUCAAAUGUUCAGCCAGGCCAAAGCAACUCCUGUUUUAUCCUCAGCCACUUUCCUUCCUACCCAGAACCUGUUUAGGAACCCAGUGCAAAAUGGAAGUGUGGACCUCUUGCUCAAAAAUUAUUAAGAAUUAUUAAAAAUUUCAGCCAGACAUGGUGGUUUAUGCCUCUAACCCCAGCACUUUGGGAGGCCGAGGUGGGCAGAUCGCUUGAGCCCGGGAGUUUGAGACCAGCCUGGGCAACAUGGUGAAAUCCUGUCUCUACAAAAAAUACAAAACUUAGCUGGACAUGCUGGCACAUGCCUGCAGUAUCAGCUACUUGGGAGGCUGAGUUGGGAGGAUCCCUUCAGCCAGGAAGGUCAAGGCUAUAGUGAGCCAUGUUUUCGCCACUGCACUCCAUCCUGGGUGACAAAGUGAGACAAAGUGGAACUGUG
rnacentral:lncRNA from 1 species